UACGCAGGCGGCUUUGUAAGUCAGAUGUGAAAGACUAUGGCUUAACUGUGGUAAGCAUUUGAAACUACAGAGCUUGAGUACAGGAUGGGAGAGUGGAAUUCCUAGUGUAGCGGUGAAAUGCGUAGAUAUUAGGAGGAAUACCAGUGGCGAAGGCGACUCUCUGGACUGUAACUGACGCUGAGGUACGAAAGCAUGGGGAGCAAACAGGAUUAGAUACCCUGGUAGUCCAUGCUAUAAACGAUGAGUGCUAGGUGUUGGGAGGGACACCUCUCGGUGCCGAAGUUAACACAUUAAGCACUCCGCCUGGGGAGUACGGUCGCAAGACUGAAACUCAAAGGAAUUGACGGGGACCCGCACAAGCAGCGGAGCAUGUGGUUUAAUUCGAUGCAACGCGAAGAACCUUACCAGGGCUUGACAUCCUUCAGCCAGGGCUAGAGAUAGCCCCUUCCCUUCGGGGACUGAGGAGACAGGUGGUGCAUGGUUGUCGUCAGCUCGUGUCGUGAGAUGUUGGGUUAAGUCCCGCAACGAGCGCAACCCUUGUCUUUAGUUGCAAACAGCUAGGCUGUGCACUCUAAAGAGACUGCCGAUGACAAAUCGGAGGAAGGUGGGGAUGACGUCAAAUCAUCAUGCCCUUUAUGUCCUGGGCUACACACGUGCUACAAUGGUCGGUACAACGGGAAGCGACCUCGUGAGAGUGAGCAAAA
rnacentral:rRNA from 1 species